CCGACCGACCGGCUCUGUCCCGUCAUACAGCUGACCAACUAUAAUAACUUUUAUUUAUAUUCAAUUUAGAAUGUGUGUACUGAUUUUCAGCCUUAGUAAAUGGAUCUAAUUACCUUCGUAGGAAAGCAACUUUGAUACCCUCUCAGUAACCCCUGUGCUACGUUUCGCUUGACCGACCGCAGUAUGUUUCUCUAUACAAUCACAGUAAUGAACUGUGAAAAAUCUAGCUUUAGUAAAUUCAAAGAGAUUUUUCAGCGCUGCCUCUUGGACUGUUACUUCAACUGAGACUUCGACCAGGUGUUCAGCUGUCCUGUAGCUGCGCAUCGUCAUCAAAGCGCUGCGUUGUAAGCCAUGUCUUCAUUGCUCGAAACAGGUGGUAGUCGCUAGGUGCAAGGUCCGGACUAUACGCCGGAUAAGGAAACACCUCCCACUUGAAUUUUGUAAGGACUUCUCCAGUACGAUUUGCCGUGUGUGGUCAGGCAUUGUCAUGCAACAACAAAAUUUUCGAGCUCAGCUUUCUUCUGCGUUUGUUUUGUAUCGCUCUUCGUAACUUUUCCAAUGUUUCACAAUAUCUCGCCGAGUUAAUUGUUGAGCCACGUUCCAGGAAGUCCUUCGCUGAUCCAGAAAACUGUUGCCAUAAUCUUCCUUGCAAACAGGAUUUUUUGGUUUUUAGGGGAAUGUAUGUCUCCGCACUCCAUAGACUGCAAUUUCGUUUCGCAAUUGACAUGUUUUACCCAAGUUUCAUCUCCAGUCACAAUUCGAUCAUGUAAUGAGUCACCAUAUUUUUUCCAAGAGUCCAAAAAACGUCAAUGAAGCAGCCAUACGCAGAUUUUUAUGGGUUUCUGUCAAGAGUUUUGGUACCCACCUUGCACAAAAUUUGUGAUAACUUAACUUUUGUGAAACAAUUUCAUGCAACAAACUUAUUAAAAUUUAUGGAAUUUUCUAGUCGACUUUAGAGACAAGUUCAUCAGUCACAAUGCUUGGCCGUCCACAUUAUUCGUAUAAACAGCUCAGAUUUCGCGAUAAAUUUCAAUUGGUUUGUUGUUUUUAACCAACAAGAACCGUUUUACCGAUCGCACCUCACAAGUCACAACUGGCGGGGUUUUCGAUCGCGGCACAUAGCACGGCUGGACAUCUACUGAACGGAGGAACGCUACGAUGCUAAGAUGGCCGCGCUAGCCCCGCCCCUAGCGGCAAAAUUUCUGAAUAGCCUGCGUAUAUAAUAUUUAAAUAAAUUCUAAUUCGGAAAAUAACAUUGUGUUGAAUAUUGGUUUUGGUCCAAUUCAUAUGGGACUAGCUCCUAAAACUUCCAUUUUUUACUUUUUUCGAAAUUCCGACGACAAUUUUUAAAACUGUUUUUGACAGAUUGUUACGCCAACUGCCGGAGAACUCUUUGAACCUUUUUGAAAUCUCUGUCGCAUCUUCGAGCAUCGAUAAAAUCAAAUUCCAUUUUUAUUUCACAACAAACUUGUUAAGUGCACUUCUUUAUUAGGAUGAAUGUUUAAAAAUUUUUCUACAGAGUGCCAUUUAUCGUCAAAAAGAAAUCUUUUAAAAAAAUAUCGAGGGUUAUUAAUUUUUAUUGUAGUUCUAUUUUACACGUUAUUUUUUUUAAUAUACUUUGUAUGCUGAUACCUUUACAGCACAAUUCUUGAAAUGUUGGACAAGGUUACGGCAUGUAACCUUUGACCCAAAUAUAUAUGUUACAGUUCAAGUUGAUUGUCCAGUUGGAGUUGACUAUUCCUAGUUCGAGUCAACUCAGGCCGGUUUUAGUAAAAGUUGAUUAUAAAUAUAGAUUUUUAUUCAACAUUUACUAGUAAAAGUAGACUCCAACUAGGAAAAGUAUACUCUUCCCAAUGCCAUUUAGUAAGUCAAUCAUUAGAUCAGUUUUUCCCAAUCAUUAGGUCAACACUUACUAGUCAAAGUAAUAGUGUCAAAGUAAAUUAAGAACUUGUGCCCUCAAGCUUUUCAUGAAAAUGGAACCAUCAUAAAUAAAAACACCAGAUUCUAUAAAUAAAAUUUUACGAGUUGAUAACAGUCAAAAUAAAACGCACGCAUCACAAAUCACAUGCGAUUCUAAAUUUACUGAAUAGAUCUAGAAAUAUUCAACUCAAACUAGUAAGAGUUCAUUCUCUCUUCCCGGGAUCUACUAUCACUAACAAAGGUUAGGAAGAGUCUACUUCAAUUAGUAAAAAUCAUAAUUUUAUUGAAUAGAUCUAGGAAUAGUCAACUCAAACUAGUAAGAGUUAAUUCUCUUCUUCCCGGGAUCUACUAUCACUAACAAAUGUUAGGAAGAGUCUACUUCAAUUAGUAAAAAUCAUAAUUUUAUUGAGUAGAUCUAGAAAUAGUCAACUUAAACUAGUAAGAGUUAAUUCUCUUCUUCCCGGGAUCUACUAUCACUAACAAAGAUUAGGAAGAGUCUACUUCAACUAGUAAAAGUCAAACUUUUAUUGAAUAGAUCUAGGAAUAGUCAACUCAAACUAGUAAGAGUUAAUUCUCUUCUUCCCGGGAUCUACUAGUACUAACAAAGAUUAGGAAGAGUCUACUUCAACUAGUAAAAGUCAAACUUUUAUUGAAUAGAUCUAGGAAUAGUCAACUCAAACUAGUAAGAGUUAAUUCUCUUCUUCCCGGGAUCUACUAUCACUAACAAACAUUAGGAAGAGUCUACUUCAACUACUAAAAGUCAAACUUUUAUUGAAUAGAUCUAGGAAUAGUCAACUCAAACUAGUAAGAGUUAAUUCUCUUCUUCCCGGGAUCUACUAGUACUAACAAAGGUUAGGAAGAGUCUACUUCAACUAGUAAAAGUCAAACUUUUAUUGAAUAGAUCUAGAAAUAGUCAACUCAAACUAGCAAGAGUUAAUUCUCUUCUUUCCGGGAUCUACUAGUACUAAUAAAGGUUAGGAAGAGUCUACUUCAACUAGUAAAAGUCAAACUUUUAUUGAAUAGAUCUAGGAAUAGUCAACUCAAACUAGUAAGAGUUAAUUCUCUUCUUCCGGGGAUCUACUAUCACUAACAAAGGUUAGAAAGAGUUUUACUUAAACUAGUAAAAGUUGAAUUCAAGUUUUCAAAUUAACUCUUACUUCUCGCUUUAGUUUGAGUUGACUCUAACUAAGAAUAGUCAACUCUAACUGAGAAUCUACUUGAACUCUAACAUAUAUUUUUUGAACGAAGACUUUCAUUUUUAUAACGAAUAUUUGAAAAUAUUUCUUUUUACAUUUGAGAAAAAUUGUCUAAUUCUUCUAUAGCUAUAGACGUGCUUUCUUUUGGUUUCUUUUGUACGUGGAUGACGCUCUGUACGAAGAAAAAAUACCAAAAAACUGUAUAUAUUAUUAUUAUACAUACAAUAUAAUUAAUAGAAAAUUUUUUGAAAAAUCGUUUAUUUCUCGUUUAUUGCUGUAUGAAAUUGUUUUUAUACAGAUUUUUAAGGAAAAGAUCGUGAGAAACGGAUCAAUGUUGAAACCAUGUUUUGUUAAUUUUUUUAAUAGAUGGGAAGGUUGCAAUAUCGGAGCGUAUCAAAAAAAAUUUAAUGUUUCGUGUAAGACCGAUAUGUCAAUAUUCCAAAGUAUUUUCUAAUCGUCUGUUAUUUUAUUAAGUAUUACUUAAAAAUGAUUGUGCGAGUUUCAGUUUUAUUAGGCGACUUGAACAAUACAUGUAAGAAGACAAACAAAAGCUCAAUCUGAUGACGUUAGUGCUAGUCGAUCUUUGAUAACUACAUAUCAAGUCUACAUGAACAAUGAUGAUAGUGGUUUAAAUUUAUAAUUCCAGAUUUCGCUUGCGCUACACAAUACACAAAAUGAAGUUAUCUUCCUCACAAUAGGAGUGUUCCGAUGGUGGGUGUUAACGGAAUCAAUUAAAAAUAAGUGUAAACAACGAACAGUAAUAUUUAUUUUUAUUUGGUUAAAAUGCGUGCUUAUUCAUCUCGUAAGAGGGUUGUUUAUUGUUUUGGGGCAGCGAGGGUGCGUCUGAACUGCCUGCCUGCUGUGACGAUACUGCAGAGACCACAACACGGUCAUCACGUUUGCGGUUUUACAAUUUUUAAGGCAAUAAAUUACUACAUCUGGCGUUUUAAAAGCUCGGAACUUUUCUGUAGUUUUAAGAAACGUCUUCGAAUGCAUUUCCAAAGUGCGUUGACAUAAGGUCUGAUAAGGUAAUUAAUUUAUGGGGAAUUCAGUUUGUUAAACUGAAGACAACAAAAACAUAUUAUGGUUAAGGAUACAUUUGGUUUCAUAAAACGUCUUAGCAUCUAGUUUGUAUAUUAAAUGUGAAUUUAUAUGACCGUUUUGAGAAAACUUAUUAAAAAAUAAAAUUAGCAAAAAUAGUAAUUAAAGCGUGUCGCCACAGGAGUAUUCAGGCUUAAUAUGAUCAAUGAUUUUCUGUGAAGGAAAAACUUGCUCCUCUUGCUUCUCUUUAAAUACAAAUCAAGAUAUUUAUUAUAUAAACACGUUUUUUGAGACAGCACCAAGUAAACCGGAAAUAAUACUAAGUAUCAAAAGACCAAAACUUGAGUACUUGGGACAUGUGAUAAGAGGGCAAAAUUACUCAUUAUUACAACUUAUUAUGCAAGGCAAAAUCCGAGGAAAGCGAAAUGUGGGAAGACGAAGAACAUCCUGGCUUAAGAACUUACGGGAAUGGUUCGAAUGCAGUAGUGCAGAGCUAUUUAGAGCGGCAGUCAACAGAGUCCGCAUUGUCAUGAUGAUUUCCAACCUUAGAUAGAAGUGGAACUUAAAGAAGAACAAUAGUUCCAUAGUAUUCCACUUUUGACAUACAAAAUACCUAAUGAACUAAAGGAAAUAUAAAUUUAUUAUUGACACAGAAAUACAUAAAUUAAUUGACUUUGAAUUCGACACAGUAAACUCCAUUUUCCAGUAUACAAUAGAAAGAAAGGUGUGAUAUGUGAUAUUUGGACAUAAUGCCUAAAAAGACAUUCACAGAGUCCCGUGUGCCAAUAUAUUUAUCAUCGUUCUCUCCAUUUCUACAGUUUUUCCUAACUGUUGGAAGUCCCAUAAAAUUGAUUUGGUUGUUUAAAUAGUUCGAAAUUAUGUCCCUUUUUUUUCCCUUGUCGACGCCGGUGUUGUUCCUUGCUAUCGAAAUUCGCAUGUGUCGCGAAGAAGAGGAUGGGACGCUUACCAUUUGAGAUCCAAAAAUUCUUCCCCUAUGAUAUAAGGAACGAGAUGCCUUGAAAACUCGAAUGUGUACAGACGUGUAAUAGUUAGUGAAUUCGUUCGUUUGUUUUUCGAUCGUUGUGUCUCCAGCCAGACGGGGUAAGCUUGACCUAAAUUGAAUUACCUUUAUUUCCAUUGUCUCGUUUUUGAAUUAUUUAGCAACAAGCCAAUUUGAAUUUGUGUAUUAUUAUUGUAUUGCGCUUAUGGAGAAAUUCCGCUUUCUCUCAAUAUUAGAGCUAUCAGAAGGGAUAGACUUUAUAAGCAGGUGUUGUAAUUAGUGUUUAUUGCUUAUUUUUGAUGUUAUCACUUGUUUCGUUCAAUACCUUCUAGUAAUCACACACUAACUUUUCGGUUGAAUAGAGUAGGCCGAUAGAUAACUAGUACGGUGAGCAAUAGGCUCUUGUGGUUCAGUUAUAUUUAUUCGCUGCUUUCUCCGGAAGGAGUUAAAAGUGAGCAAACCGGAGAUUAUAGUAUAUGAUUGUUUAGUGUCUACAUGUUGACUUCAACCGCCUAAUAAUUUUAUUGCAUUAUAUGAUAUUUUGUGAUCGGCCAUGAUUGCUUGUUUGUAAAUAGUGCAACCGACUCAUUGUUAAAAUGUUUAAUAAUUUUUAUAUUUAUUUAAAAUAUUUAUUCUUCGCAAUUACCUGAUUAGGAUGAGCAUUGAAUUACUCCUUGAGCUCAAAAUAUGAAGAUGAUAUUUUUAUCGAUUUUAGGUGUUAUAAUAAAUCUUUUUUAUGUCAAUUUUAUUCUGAUAUACAGGAUAUUUUUUAAAGAUUAUUGAAUUGACCUUAUAUUUUAUAUCAGAUCGAUUAUAAUGUUUUGUAGCGACAAAAACAGGAAGAUGACUUAAGGGGGUAAGCGCAAAAUUUCGGCUGCAAUGCUUUUUAAACGCAUUCAUUUUUUUUUCGAAUCCUGAGAAAACUAAUAUGUAUCUUUGAAAAAUUUAAACGGAGAAUGAAAGAUUACGUUUUACCGAGGGCUGAAGGUCCUUGAAAAUUUCUAUAAUCUCUAUUUUAUGAGUUAUAGAGGUCAAAAAAAAUAAGAGAAAGUUUAGUGUGAUUUUUAAUUUUAAAUAUCUCAUUUAAAAGAAACAUUUAUGGUUAUUCUAAGGGACUUUGGGUUCUCGGUAAUAAUGUAAUCUUUCAUUCUGCGUUUAAAUUUUUCAAAAAUAUUUAUUAGUUUUGUCGGGAUUCGAAAAAAAUAAAUGCAUUUAGAAAGCAUUGGAACCGAAAUUUUGCGCCUACGGCCUUAACUAUGCGCUUCUAUAUACAUCAAAAUUAAAUCUGUUUGAUAAAGUAUUAUGAAAUUAAAAAAAAUAUUGAUUUUGGAGCGGACUUAGUCAGUUUUUUUAUCACUUAUUUUUUAUUUCAAGCAACAAAACACGAAGUGGUGGUCAAAAAUUAACGAUAUUAAAAAUUCUUUUGGUAGGUGUACACAGACUAGUAGUCUGUGUAGGAGGAUACGUCUAAAGUUAUCGGCUAAUAGAGGUUAUGGUUAUGAUAGAUCUGGGCAAGGCCCACUUGUGAGCCCUCCAGGCUCCAAGACAGGAGUCAUAUAAUAAUGGAGGCUCUUUUUCACUGAAUUUAGAUAAAGAGUAGUACAUACAAAAAUGUUUAUUUCCAUGAAAAGUUUCAGCAAAAAAAAAAUAAAUAAACUUCCAAAUCUGCUCAUAUUGACUUCUUUAAAAUAUUUAAAUAACUUAUAAUUAACUUCUUGAAGUAUUUAUUAUUAAUAUUGACACUUAAUGCAUGACUUUAUCCAUGACUGCUUCAAAAAAAACUUAGUGUAUUACACACUAAAACUAACCAGCUUUUUGCCUGAACGCAUCAACACCAUGAUUUCUUCAUAAAACUUCGAAAUCGGCUACAUUCUCACUUAAGUUCUCAAUCAAACUUCCACUUCAAAAGCUCAAACUAAAAAUUCAACUCAACUCUUCAGAAACCGCCAUAAGCGGUCUCCGACCGAAGCUACAACCAACCUCUGACUUCAACUUCCAAAACUUGAAUCCUUUAAUCUCACAACUUGAAUGCAUCUCCUCAAACCAAAACGCUUCCUUCCAAAGACCCACUCCAUUUCUCUCAUUCUACUCUACUCAUCCAAUCAACCAAUAAGAAAAAAGUUUAAUCCUUCUUUCAUCCAUGACUAAUAAAAAAAUAACCAAGCUUCCUACAUGUACUAUCGACCAAUAGGGAAAAACAAAAUAUAUUUUAAGCCCAACCUACUUAGUAGGGAACCAUCAAAAAAUCAUUUCGCAAGUCGGCAAAACUCACUUAGUUCUACAGUUCUCAAGAAAAAUACUGCUGAGUGCACAAUCCUACACCUGCGCUUCUCUGAUACCAAAGCAGCACGUAUGUGUAUCUAACUCCCAAGAUUCGUGGAGCCAAAACGAUCAUUAGCUGCAAUGUAACUCUUUUUUAAUCACAAACUGAACACAGGAAAUAGAAUGUAGAUACCUAUGACUGUAAACUAAAUUAACGUCUUUCUUUAACAAGACGGAUAAACUACAAUUGAAUUAUUCUCACGUUCUUUCAGGACAGAAAUACAUUCCUAAAAUUUACUUGGCAUAUAAAGCGACAUUCCUACGUCUACAGGGUGAGACAAAAAUAUGUAACAAUGACAUUUACGCUUUUUGGUUUCUGGAUGAAACUAAUUAAGAAAUUAAUUAAGUUCUUUUGAACCGUUUUAAUACAAAACUACAUGCUAAAACAAACCUAAUGUCUUGUUGAAUACUAGGGCUAGGAAUCGUUAAACAAAAGAUGUACGAAUAAAGAGUAAAAUUAUUAUGUUUUAAAAUUAAAUAAAUUUAGAGUGUUUUAUUUGGAAGUAUAAAAAGUUUAAACCGCCUGUUGAUAAUCCUGAUAAGAUUUUUGAAGAAAUAUUUUUAAUAUCGUUGGUUGUUUAUCCAGUAAGUUCGCUUUUGUUUUGUUUAAUUUUGAAAUUUAUCAUAAAUUAUCAGAUUCUGCGCUACUUCAGGAGCAGCUCAAUGCUUUUAACACUUGGAUCAUUGCAAGUCCAGUUUGUAAUAGUAUUGAUGAUACAAACACUGGUAUUUUUGUUUUGUCUAUGAGGCAUUGCAGUUACUACGCUGGGCAAAUAAGACUGUUCUGGGAAUUGAUAAAAUAACAAUAUUUCGUCCAUCUCUAUUUUACGUUUUAACGAUAUUUUAUAAAAUGCAUUUCUUUUUGAGUGAAAAAUGAAGAAAAAUGUAGAAGUUGAGGAGCUUGAAGUUAACACGUUUUUUUUAGUCCUAUAAUAUCAUUUCAUAUCACUUUUAUUAUAUUAAGGCCUCUCUGGUCUUAUAAUUAUAUUUCUGAUAGUAGUUUUGAGCAUAUAUUUUCUAUUUUUCUCUAUGAGACAUUAAAUUUGUUUGCUGAUGUUUUAUUGUGAUAAAAGUGUCGGCUCAAUACAUCAGGAUGUAACCUAUUUGUUUUUAUGUCUAUUAUACUCUUUGUCUAAAAUGUUCACCUCAUACUUCAAUAACAUUACAUUUCAAAAGAAAUGAAACAGGAGAUUAAAAAAAAUGAAUUAAAAAUGAGCUUCAUUACUUGGCUACAAAAAGGGCACAGGACAUAGAAAAACAUGAGUACGUAACAUAACUUUCCUUCAGUAUACAAAAAUGAAGGUCAAACGUACAUUAACCCUUUAAGGCAAAGAACUACAUAAUUGUUUCUUUUUACGGGGAAUAUUUGCGAAAAUUGUUAAAUUAAAUAGAAGGUAAUGAGUUACCUGAUAGAAAAAACGGAAAUUAUCUUUAAAUUUAUUUUUUUCGGGGUGGUAAAUAUUGCUACCAGUAGGUGUUUGUGAGCAUUUACGACUGGUAAAUAUUUCUACCACUAUAUCUACACGCUAAAAGAAAAGUUGUAAAAGAGAAAAUAUGUAUUUCAAAUUUCAUUUCUGAUGAUAUAUGUAUUGAAAGACAUUCAGUUAUUACAUCUAUGAUAAGAGCCCUUGAUUUUGCCUUUUUGGACAAUUUGAAUUCCGAAUUUUUUUCGGAUAAAAUCGCACUAUUUAUGUCACAAAUCACAAAAAUUCUCGUGUAUUCAUGGAAAACAGUUGUAAAGCUUCUUAAAAAAAUUAGUAAGAUGUGUUGGCAAUGUGAAAUAGAUCGGAACAACUUUCAGAAAUCAUUUUUUCAUUUCAUCAAUUUUAAUGAAUAAACUAAUAAAAAAAAUAAAAUAAAUUACUCUAACAUUAAUACUGCUGAAGUACCCUACACAAAUACUUAGUGGUAGCUCUUUUUACUGCUCAAAGACCCUUGGAUUAGUACAGGCAUACGUGAGUCGUGUGGUCUCUAAUUUUACCAAAUAUCCUUUGCAGCAGUACUGUUUGUGCUUACGAUCUAGUACUACUGCCGUAGGUAGACAAAAAUAACCUUGAAUAAUAGUGGUAAAUAUAGCUACCAUGUACACUUAAAGGGUUAAUGAGACAGAUGCUGUAGGGUUAAUGAGACAAGGAAAUUUGAGAGUAGGUAAAAACAAAAUAAGAACACUGUAUGAUUUCUGUUAUAGACGUUGGCGGAAGGAUCAUACAAUAGUAGGAGAGAGAGAAGGAGGCAAGUCGUAUAUCGAGACAGGUCUGUGCUAACCUGCGUCUAUAGCUUCAAAUUAAGAUAUAUUUUUCAGCAAAUAUUGACAAAUACACUAACGAUGUUCGUUUUCAUAGUUUUUAAAUCACAUAAUAAUGGACAAAACUGUUAACUUCUUGACGAGCCGAUAUUUUAGAACUGGUAUUAGGUUUUUUAUGAUUUUAGCUACUAGGUGGACAGUAUUCGCAGCUAAUGCUAUAUGUAUAGAUAUUAAAUGAACAGUUACAAAUAAUUUUCUUUGAAUUUGUGCAAUCUCUCAUCCAGCAGUAACUACAAUGUCGUUUUACUGAUUUUUAUUUUAGUCAUUAUAUUUAUUAAAUUGGGUUAGUUCAUUGGCGUUUUUCAAUGUAUAGAAGGGGGGACUCGAAACUGUCAAAAUCCCUUUACGUAGUUUGAAAAUUUACGAAAAAAAAAAGAAUCUAUUUUUGUUAGAUGUCAAAAAAAAAUUAUAUGUACCUAUUGGAGCCCUCGCUCGAUUACGCCAAUGAGAUAGAAUGAUUCUCUUUGUCUUCUGCUAGUUUAUUUUCGCACUCAGGUAAUACAGUAUGAUUGUAAUUACGAGACAUAGAUGUGGCGAAUGAGGGAUAAAAAGACAUGUUGAAAAAUUGUGUUAAAUUUGAUUUUUUUAAUGAAAUUUAAAAAAUACCUAAUGUUGUUUGAUGCUUAAAUAGGUAGAAACCGAUUUGAUGUGUUGCUGAAUUCAUUUAAACUUUGUCAUAUUAUAUAUGAACUUGUAUCAGCCUUUUCAUUCAUUCAUUUUUUUUGUAAAACGGUGUUCCUCAAAAAUCCAAUUGAGAUUUAGUUGAAUAACUGUUUCGACAUUUCUCAUAUAAUAAAACUUAUUAAAAUUUUGCAUCAAAAUAUGAAGAUGCGUUUCUUUAAACCACGAAACGUUAUUUCUCGUAUAGCGACAUCUAUGUUUAAAAGGAAAUAACCACUUACUUAGUAUUUAAUUUUAUAUUACUUACAGAUAUCGUUCAUUUGUAUAUGGUAUUUUUCUGUAACUGAUGGGUAUAUAUGUAUAUUUAUAUGUGAAAAAUAUUGAGAAAAUUUGAAAAGAGACCAAGUGGACAGUGCCUUUACAUUAACCUCUGACGAUGGAGGGAGUUAUGCUUGUUUAGGGCAAGAUACAUAUUAUGAUUGUAAUAUGCCUUAAUUAUGUUAGUAUUAAAUAUUUAAUUCUUUAAA
rnacentral:lncRNA from 1 species